GGGGAAUAUUGCACAAUGGGGGAAACCCUGAUGCAGCAACGCCGCGUGAGUGAUGAAGGUCUUCGGAUUGUAAAGCUCUGUCUUUUGGGACGAUAAUGACGGUACCAAAGGAGGAAGCCACGGCUAACUACGUGCCAGCAGCCGCGGUAAUACGUAGGUGGCAAGCGUUGUCCGGAUUUACUGGGCGUAAAGGAUGCGUAGGCGGAUAUUUAAGUGAGAUGUGAAAUUCCCGGGCUUAACUUGGGCGCUGCAUUUCAAACUGGGUAUCUAGAGUGCGGGAGAGGAAAGUGGAAUUCCUAGUGUAGCGGUGAAAUGCGUAGAGAUUAGGAAGAACACCAGUGGCGAAGGCGACUUUCUGGACCGUAACUGACGCUGAGGCAUGAAAGCGUGGGGAGCAAAC
rnacentral:rRNA from 1 species